rnacentral:rRNA from 1 species
UACGUAGGGGGCGAGCGUUGUCCGGAUUUAUUGGGCGUAAAGGGCGCGUAGGCGGCCUGGCAAGUGGAAGGUGAAAUCCCUCGGCUUAACCGAGGAACUGCCUUCCAAACUGCUUGGCUUGAGUCCGGGAGAGGUGAGUGGAAUUCCCAGUGUAGCGGUGAAAUGCGUAGAUAUUGGGAAGAACACCGGUGGCGAAGGCGGCUCACUGGCUCAUUACUGACGCUCAGGCGCGAUAGCGUGGGGAUCAAACAGG